GCCGACUGGAAUGAGACCCGGCAGGAGGCGAAUGGAGCAGUUAGACAGAUGGGUGGAUGAAAAGACUGGGGCACACAGAAAGAUGUUCAAUGAUGACGCAGCUAAGGAGGGGAAAAGUAUUUCUCCAUGCUGAUGGGAGUCUUAAAAUGCUGUUUCUCGCCAUUAAGAGACAAUACUUCAAACAUUGUAACUCCAGGAGAAGGAAAUCAUUUUCAGCCCACUUUUACAAAAGAAGAAACUGAGGCUCAGAUGGUUUAAGUGACUUUCCCAAGUGUACCCAGAUAACAGCAGAGUUAGAAUCAAACUACCAUCUUCUGAGUCCAUAAAUUUCUCAGGAAUAUAGUCUAUGUUUAAUUUUAUUAAAUUAAUUGUAAACAGUAUGAAUUCCUUGAGAAGAGGUCUAAAGUUUGUUUUGUACAUACCAAAGAAUUAUAAUAGUAACGAUAACAACAACAAGAACAUAGCUAACAUGUAUUGACUGCUUACAACUUACAGACACUGUUCUAAGGGUUUAUAUGUAUUUACCUAUUUGGUCUUCACAAUAACUCUAUGAAAAAGGUGCCAUUAUUAUGCUUAUUUUAUACAUGAGAAAAAUGAAGUGCUGAAAGGUGAAGUAACUUAUCUAAGGCCACGCAGUAACAGUAAAGCUGAGGUCUAGC
rnacentral:lncRNA from 1 species